rnacentral:misc_RNA from 1 species
UUUCAAUGUGAUUAGACCUUAAUUAAAAGUGGCAAAUAACAAAACCCUUCCUAAUUAUUCCCCAUUAUCACACAACAACAAAACAGAUAAUACAUGAGCUUAAGGUCAGAAGGAUUUGAAGCAAGGCACAAACAUAACUUAUAAAGAAUUUUGAAACUAAACAAAUAACCUCUUUUUCUGUCACUUGGAAAUGCCAUCAGUUU